rnacentral:rRNA from 1 species
AUAAUGGGUCAGCGACUUAUAUUCUGUAGCAAGGUUAACCGAAUAGGGGAGCCGAAGGGAAACCGAGUCUUAACUGGGCGUUAAGUUGCAGGGUAUAGACCCGAAACCCGGUGAUCUAGCCAUGGGCAGGUUGAAGGUUGGGUAACACUAACUGGAGGACCGAACCGACUAAUGUUGAAAAAUUAGCGGAUGACUUGUGGCUGGGGGUGAAAGGCCAAUCAAACCGGGAGAUAGCUGGUUCUCCCCGAAAGCUAUUUAGGUAGCGCCUCGUGAAUUCAUCUCCGGGGGUAGAGCACUGUUUCGGCAAGGGGGUCAUCCCGACUUACCAACCCGAUGCAAACUGCGAAUACCGGAGAAUGUUAUCACGGGAGACACACGGCGGGUGCUAACGUCCGUCGUGAAGAGGGAAACAAC